rnacentral:rRNA from 1 species
CAGUAGCCACGGUAAUACGAAGGGGGCUAGCGUUGUUCGGAUUUACUGGGCGUAAAGCGCACGUAGGCGGACUUUUAAGUCAGGGGUGAAAUCCCGGGGCUCAACCCCGGAACUGCCUUUGAUACUGGGAGUCUUGAGUUCGAGAGAGGUGAGUGGAAUUGCGAGUGUAGAGGUGAAAUUCGUAGAUAUUCGCAGGAACACCAGUGGCGAAGGCGGCUCACUGGCUUGAUACUGACGCUGAGGUGCGAAAGCGUGGGGAGCAAACAGGAUUAGAUACCCCCGUAGUCCCUGUCUCUUAUAC